GCUUGUUUUUCUAGCACGUAUAAUAAAUGCAACAGCACAGAGAAGAUUAGCACAGCCCCUGGGCAAGGAUGACUUGCAAAUUCACGAAUCAUUCCAUCAUUUU